UAUUUUAGUCAUAAGAAAAAUAUCAUUGCCUUUAUAUCAAUCAUCAUCAUUUCUCAACCCCUACCCCCACCCCACUCCUCUGGUGUCUUGAAGAAUGGACUCAAGAUGUGCAAUUCUUUGUGAAGUUUUACUAGCAAUCUUUCUUCCUCCUCUUGGUGUUUGCCUUCGCCAUGGUUGCUGCACUGUGGAGUUCUUGAUUUGCUUGAUUUUGACCAUAUUGGGCUAUGUUCCUGGAAUUAUCUAUGCUCUUUAUGCAAUCCUUUGUAUUCAAAAUGAACCACACUACCAUCAUUACCAUUCUCUUGCUUGAUAGUUUGAUUCCUUUUUCAUUUUGCCUUGUUUACUACACCACUUGAGAUUGUGUGGUUGUUGCCUUGUUUAUUCUUGUAUUGUAAUUCUUUGCUUGUAAUUUAAACUUGUACCAUUGGAUGAAUUGUACUCUAUGUCACUUGAUCUUAAUCAACUUUGCAGUUUGAGUUUAAAGAUUGAACCUUUA